rnacentral:rRNA from 1 species
GACGUAGGGGGCGAGCGUUGUCCGGAUUUAUUGGGCGUAAAGAGCUCGUAGGCGGCUUGUCGCGUCGACUGUGAAAACUCGGGGCUCAACUCCGAGCUUGCAGUCGAUACGGGCAGGCUAGAGUUCGGUAGGGGAGACUGGAAUUCCUGGUGUAGCGGUGAAAUGCGCAGAUAUCAGGAGGAACACCGAUGGCGAAGGCAGGUCUCUGGGCCGAUACUGACGCUGAGGAGCGAAAGCGUGGGGAGCGAACAGG